ensembl:lncRNA
ACUCUGAUGGACAGAGGAGACUGGCGGGCUACAAUCUGUGGGGUUGCAAAGGGUCAGACAUGACUGAGCGACUAACACACACAAGCAUUUUCUGUGGAUCUCAUUUAAUCUUCACGAAAGCCCUUUGGGGCUUCAGAUCAGAAACAAUAUCAGAGGAUUGCAAAGAUAGAAAGUUGAGGGGUCAGAUGCAAAUGCAGACAGCUUGACCUGUGGUCCAAGGCCUAUGGUCCUAAUCUCCCUCCAUCCUGCCCAGCUUUCUCUCUACUGCUUUCUGUCUACAUCCACCUGGGUGCAAGGAGGCGUGUGCUUCAUCAGCAGUGAGCAAAUAACUGAGUUAAAAAUAACCUUAUCGUUUCUUGCUCUAGUUCUUGAAAGCAGUGGGUAUGAUCAUUUCAUUUUUAAAAGCCCUGUAUUCAGCUUUCUCGGUGCUCAAACAGGCACUGCUGUUUGCUUGCAAGGCACACGCUCCAGGCUUCCCAGAGCUAGAUGUGUGCUGCUCAUCUAAACCAGGAUGACUAUUCUCUUUCCUGUGCAAAUGUCUUUAAUCCAGCAGCUUCCUGCUGGGCUCCAGAAACUCCAAUCGCCCCAUACCUGGGAAGUUUGCUACAGAUGCAUUACAAGAGCCAGAUUUUAAAGUGCCUGCUAUUUGUUUUGCCUCUCACCUCCAAACAUAAUGCUUUGUUUGCAAGACAGUGACUGUUCCACAGCCAGUGAUUCCUCCAUCAUAAACACAUGGAAAAUGACUCUGGGAAUGUGGUGAGCAGCAGGAGACAGGAAUUGUGCUGCCAGCCCUUGCCGUGGGCUGUCCUGGCAUCAGAGCCCAGGCUGCAGGGCACUUGCCUCUCCGCCCACCUCUUGCUGCUCACCCAGGAGGCCCAGGCCAAAGCUUAAACCCAACAAAGGACUUAAACCCACAAAAGGACUUGCAUGUCUGCUUUUAACUCCAGUCCAGCUUUGGAGCUUGCUGUGGCUAUAUGGAAGGUCGGUGCCCAAGCCUGGGCAGGAACUGCCAGCUCCAUACAGGUAUCUGGGUCUGCACCCAGUGGGCGGUCUGUCAGGUGAGAUGAGUCUGCCAUCCUGUCCCAUCCUCGCCUGCAUCUCUGUGCAGCCGCAGUCACAGGCUCUCCAUGGACUGCUCUGGGUACCAGAGGUCUCUUCGGAAUGAUGCCUCCUUUGAAGAUAGCUGCGGGUUAUGUGAACGAAGUGCCAAGAGGCUGCCGGGAGAGAGAAGAGCCUGACUGGGCACAGAGCCAGGUCAAAAGGCAAAUCUACUGUCUCCAGUCCCUGCAACAAGGAGUGCCCAGAAAGCAGCAGUAAACCUAAGGGAACGGAGAACAUUCUGUAUAUUCUUCCAGGACUCCAUGGAGAGUGGCUUUUCAGAUUCUUCCAUCAAGAUGGGGCAUCUAUUUCUGUUCUUGAUUCUGAUCUUGUGACUUGUUUGGCCAAUGAAAUGUGAUAGGAGUUGUGGUGAGCCAGGAGCAAUCCUGCGCUCGAGAAGGCGUGCAUAUUUCCUUUCUCUGUCUUGGAUCCUUAUUUCCUCCAUGAAGUGUUGCCUAACCUACUGGAGGAUAAGAGACCAUGAGGAAUGCCGUCCAAUAGCCAGCUACCCAGCCUUUCCCCGGGCAGAGUUGCAGUUAACUACGGAUGCCUGAAGGAGUUCAGCUCCUUCUGAGAUCAGGAGGACCAUCCAGCUGAAUUCAGGCCUAAAUCCAACCUGCAGAACUGUGAGCUAAACAAAUGAUUAUUGUUUUUAACCACUAAAUGUCAGGAUGAUUUAGUAUGUAGAAACAGCUAACUGAUCCACAGACUGAGAGAAUAACCACUCCACACUGGACCAGAAGGACCAGAUGUAUUCAAGAAUAGUGAUAUCAUUAAAGAAGCUAAUGCGUUCUUCUGAAGGCAGUGGGGUGAGUUGGGACAAAGGCUUGAGGCUUCUUAUUGUAAACCUGGUGAAAAUACUCGAUGUGAGCUGUGGGUAUGGGUAACAGAAAUAAAAU